rnacentral:rRNA from 1 species
AAUGAACGUUGGCGGCGUGGAUUAGGCAUGCAAGUCGUACGGUAAGCUUCGGCUUAUAGUGGCGAAAGGGAGAGUAACGCGUGGUUACAUGCCCUCGGGACCGGGAUAGCGGCGGGAAACUGCCGGUAAUACCGGAUAAUAUCUUUGGAUCCAAGGUGUGAUUCCGCCCGAGGAUUGGACCGCGUUCUAUUAGCUUGUUGGCGGGGUAAUGGCCCACCAAGGCGACGAUGGAUACCGGGUGUGAGAGCAUGGCCCGGCUCACUGGGACGUGAGACACUGCCCAGACACCUACGGGUGGCUGCAGUCGAGAAUCUUCGGCAAUGGGGGCAACCCUGACCGAGCGACGCCGCGUGCGGGACGAAGGCCUUCGGGUUGCAAACCGCUGUCAGUUGGGAGGAAGUGCCGGGGGGUUCUCCCCUCGGUUUGACCGAUCUUCAGAGGAAGGACGGGCUAAGUUCGUGCCAGCCGCCGCGGUUAACAC